GAUGAAGAACGCAGCGAAAUGCGAUAAGUAAUGUGAAUUGCAGAUUUCAGUGAAUCAUCGAAUCUUUGAACGCACCUUGCACCCUUUGGAAUUUUCUAAAGGGUAUGCUCGUUUGAGUGUCAUUGUACUCUCACACUCUCCGAUCCUUUGGAUAUGGGGAGCGGUGGACUUGGGUGCUUGCUGCUUCCUUGUGGCUCACCUGAAAUGCGUCAGUGCAUCUCUUGAUUGGACAUAGUACGGCGUGAUAAGUGUCUUCGCCGGCACCUCAUAAGAGGGUGGCCGAUCGGGAGCUCUGUGCUUUCAAACCGUCUUCGGACAAUCCCUGACAACUUGACCUCAAAUCGAGUAGGACUACCCGCUGAACUUAAGCAUAUCAAUAAGCGGAGGA
rnacentral:misc_RNA from 1 species